GAAAUGCGAUACUUAAUGUGAAUUGCAGAAUUCAGUGAAUCAUCGAGUCUUUGAACGCACAUUGCGCCCCCUGGUAUUCCGGGGGGCAUGCCUGUCCGAGCGUCAUUGCUACCCUCAAGCACGGCUUGUGUGUUGGGCUUCCGUCCCUGGCAACGGGGACGGGCCCAAAAGGCAGUGGCGGCACCAUGUCUGGUCCUCGAGCGUAUGGGGCUUUGUCACCCGCUCCCGUAGGUCCAGCUGGCAGCUAGCCUCGCAACCAAUCUUUUUAACCAGGUUGACCUCGGAUCAGGUAGGGAUACCCGCUGAACUUAAGC
rnacentral:misc_RNA from 1 species